UCCAAUUAUUUAUUCACAACCUAAUACACAUUCAUAACACAUAUAUAUCCAAUUUAAUACUCAAAGCUCAAAUUCAAUGAAAAUAAAAUAGAAUUAUCAUAUCCUCACCUUACCCAAGCUUCACAUAAGCAUGAGUGAACGUUUUUCUCAAGCUAAUUGGAUCCUAAAACAUCAUAAAUCAAAGAAAUUCAACCUUCCCAUUAAAAAUUCAAAAAUUGGGGGAAAAGAGGGCUGAGAGUGAUUAAACAAGUUACCAGUGAAAUUGUUUCAGUAAAAAUGUAGAGCUCGACGCGGUGAACACGUGGCCGCAAACGGUGCGGCGAUUGGAGCUCGGACGGAGAAGUUACGGGAGUUGAAAAUUCACCGUAACGGUUCGGG
rnacentral:lncRNA from 1 species